CUAAAGUGGAUGAAUAUACAGUAAAAGAGGCUACAAAGAAUUAUUUUCUUGCUACAUUUUAAUAAUAAGAUGUAUCAUACUAUUUGAAUGAUUUACUGCACCGGAACGUCUAUAGUUAAAUUGCAUACAUUAUAUUCUAUGUAAUCAUAUUUCAGGUGUAUUCACCAGCAUAAAUGCCACAUGGCCUGGAAGUACUCAUGAUGCUCAUGUUUUCAGAACCGCAGUACUGUCUGAUUAUUUGGAAGCCCAUCAUCAUGGUUUGGAGGAUGGAAUUGUGUUGGGGGACAGUGCCUACCCAUGCAGGAAGUUUCUCAUGACACCUUACCUGCAUCCUGGUACGAAUGAAGCCGGGCAAGGUAACAAAAAUAAUUCUGGCAUGUGUAGUAUUGCACAAUCUCGCUAAGGCAUGGGGUGAGAGGGAGGCGUUCCCAGAGGAAGAAGACCCUCAACCUCCACCACUUGUCCAGCUUGAGGGUAACCCUGACGGGCAGGCUAUCAGGGAUGCAAUAACUGCAAACUAUUUCAGAUGAAGACGGACGGACAUUACAAGGCACCAUGGGUGACUUGAUCUAUGUAUGGCGUAAUAGUAUUCAGACUGAUGUACGGACAUAGACAAAACAAGUCUUAAAAAUGUGUGUUCAUUUACAUCUGAUAAAGACA